CAGUCGCCGCGGGAAUACGUAGGUGGCAAGCGUUGUCCGGAAUUAUUGGGCGUAAAGGGCUCGCAGGCGGUUUCUUAAGUCUGAUGUGAAAGCCCCCAGCUCAACCGGGGAGGGUCAUUGGAAACUGGGAAACUUGAGUGCAGAAGAGGAGAGUGGAAUUCCACGUGUAGCGGUGAAAUGCGUAGAUAUAUGGAGGAACACCGGUGGCGAAAGCGGCUCUCUGGUCUGUAACUGACGCUGAGGCUCGAAAGCGUGGGGAGCAAACAGGAUUAGAUACCCCCGUAGUCCCUGUCUCUUAUAC
rnacentral:rRNA from 1 species